CUGUAGGUAGGUAGCUAGGGGAAGGUAGAGGAGCGACAGAGCGGGCUACCUCUCUCUCUCUCGCUCUCGAGCGGAGGAGGGAAGGUCUAGCGGCGGCGGUGGAGGGAGACCGCCUCGAGCGGCAGCAGGUACCGGAGGGGGUGCGGGAUGAGGAGAGCGGGGAGGGGAAGGACCGGCUUGGUUGGUCGGGUGGGUCGUGGGAAGGAGGAGGUUCUUUCGUUUCGGCACGGGAGACUGGCCCCCUACUCUAGACGCGGACGCCCCUUAAAUAACCGCGAGAGGUGGCCGCCCCGAACCUCUCCGGCCGCAAGGGGCAGCUCUAGGCAGCGCGCGUAGGAGGUCGCGGUGGGCGUCGUGCAGCUCAUGUGGUGGUGGGACCUGGCGGAGCCGGACCGGCUGGAGAGCAGGGGCGUGAGGGUCUGCGCGCGGCGGCGGUACCCCUAGUACGGGGGAGGUUCAGGUUCGUCGCCCGUCGCGGCUCCUUUGCUGCGUUACCAAGAGGGGUUGUGGGGCGGGCACCUGAUGGGGUGGAAGUUCGAGUAGGAGCAGCCGCUGCCGCCGUGGCCGUUCUGCUGCAAGCACUUCUCCGUGCAGUGGCCCCUCAAGCUCUUCUUCAUGCUUAGCUGCUAGCCGCACCUCCACGCCGGCGACCUGAAGGUCUGCUCGGUGCCGUUCUAGUCCAAGAUGACGACCCUGUAACAAGCCCUUAAGCCAUUGACCAUUGACGAGCCAGCUGAUGACUAAUCGCUAAUUAGCCAAUUAGCCGGUAAAUUGACUUAAUUAGCCAGCUAGUAAUUAGUCGACGUGUACUCUUAUAUAACCGUUGUACAUUGAUCAAAAAGUGCAUAACAUGGUGUAUUAGGUUACGAGUGUCGAUGCAUAAUAUGUAAAUAUGAUUUUAUAUUACAGCAUCCGUAUAUUUUUCGUACCUGUUCUCCAUCUUAACAAUGGACCUGCCAAACCAGUACUACGUAGGUUUGGCCUUCCGUUGUUUGGAUGUCUUAACUACUAUCUAUACGUAAACAUAUACGAGAUUUGAACAGUUCUAUUUACUCAUUUACUGUCGGUAUGUACACUGUUGUUCGUCGGUGUGUACUCUGUACUAUUCUAUUUAAUUUUACUGUCGGUGUGUUGAACCGUUAUACGUCGGUGUGUAUUGUUCUAAUUACCUACAGCGAAGUCAAUGAACUGGGUAGUGGCUAAUUAGCCAAACUGUUGGUCAAUUAGCAGACUGUUGACUAAUUUACGGUCAAUUAGCCGAACUGGUAAAUUACUUGGCUCAUACACGAUAAGCGGAGUCAAUCCGUGGCUCAUCGCUAAUUUACCCGUAAAUUUACCAUUGAGCCCUCAAGAACUUAUCACCGACCCUGUGCCGGCCUGUCCUCUUCAAGCCACCGGAGGCACUGCCUAUGAUCACUAGUAACCAAAGCGACGACGGCUACACGGUCAGCCUCCACGGCGACGAUGUAAACCGCCUCGAUCACGAUGGCGAGGUUUCCCGUUGGAAGUAGUCUGUGAUGGAGUAUUAGGAAGCCACCUCCACUGGGUACACUACCACUAAGCGAGAUCGUCAAGACCAAGGCCGUCACCACCACGAUGUGACGAUGACGAGGAUACUACCGAUGCGUAACCAUCCGAGCCGACGGAGGGAACCGACAGCGACAGUAGUCGGAUCAGAUGUUGGUGAAGGCUACUGAGUCCUCAAGGAUCCGGUUUCUUUAAAAUUCUUCGAGCUUUGGGGUCAGUAGCUGAGCGAAAUAUACAAUAACUUGAACAUUACGUCUUAAACGAACUUUAAAACUACAUUACGACUAGAACGACCCUUAACCCACAUAUAAAUGAACAACAUGUACAUUAAGUUACAACCCACAUGAACAAUAAGUUUACUACCCUUAAACUUAAACACGAUUUACAUAAAUCAACCUACACUUGUAUUAUGAUUUUCUCAGGAACCGGGUUUGUGAUGACCUGGAAUUUUUCCGAUAUCGGGUUUGUAUCAACCCCAGGUAAUUCGUUACGG
rnacentral:rRNA from 1 species